AGGCAUCUCAUUGUAUUGUUUACUUGUAUCUGGUUUAUUUGAAUAUCAGUGAAUAUUAAGUAAAGUAUUAACGUAACACGAUGGAUAGAAUGCAGUUUGCAAUUUUCUUUUAUUUACACAAUGUGUGCAGCCGGCUACAUCGGACUCAAAAUAAGCUGUUCAAGAUCAUUAAAUGCCGAUGGGACGACACGCCACCAGACAGAUCCCCCAAGUAAAGUGAAGAAAUAGGAGUCAAAGGAAUAUGGUCCUUAACAAGCCAAAUACUCAAUGCUAUCAGUAUUUUUAGAAAUGUAUGUAUGUAUUGUAGAGUAUAUUUAGGUAAUAAGAUUAUAUUUUGCUUGGCAGAAAACCUUAUUUAUUGUUUUUGUGAUUUUGUUUGAAGCUAUGGAAUAAAAUACUCAUAUCAAACAUUUAA